rnacentral:rRNA from 1 species
CCUACGGGUGGCAGCAGUGAGGAAUAUUGGUCAAUGGCCGUAAGGCUGAACCAGCCAAGUCGCGUGAAGGAAGAAGGAUCUAUGGUUUGUAAACUUCUUUUAUAGGGGAAUAAAGGUAUCCACGUGUGGAUAUUUGCAUGUACCCUAUGAAUAAGCAUCGGCUAACUCCGUGCCAGCAGCCGCGGUAAUACGGAGGAUGCGAGCGUUAUCCGGAUUUAUUGGGUUUAAAGGGUGCGUAGGUUGGUUUAUAAGUCAGCGGUUAAAGUUUGUGGCUCAACCAUAAAAUUGCCGUUGAAACUGGAAGACUUGAGUGUGUUUGAGGUAGGCGGAAUGCGUGGUGUAGCGGUGAAAUGCAUAGAUAUCACGAAGAACCCCGAUUGCGAAGGCAGCUUACUAAACUGUGACUGACAUUGAUGCUCGAAAGUGUGGGUAUCAAACAGGAUUAGAUACCCGGGUAGUC